CACGACCUGGAAAAGCAAACAUAAUAUUAUUAUCAGUUGCACAAAGAAUCCUUAUCAUAUUUUAUCGAUCCAAUGUUUUACGGCGUUAUCGGUUAGAUUGUAGACGUUGAACUUGUAUAAAAAAAUUGUCUUUCCUUUGUUAAUAAAAUAUAAUAAAAAGAACAGGCAAAAAGUUUUUGUUUAAUCUUUGUCCAAAAGGCCUAAACUUUAAUUAAAUUAUUAAAAUGUCAGUGUAUACAUCAUCGAAGUCUGAUAGUCUUGAUAAAGAAUAUAAUAUUAUAGAAGUUUUAAUAAAUCUACCAAGAUUUAGAAUAUAUUCCUAUCGUAAGAUUAUUUCAACUCGCUUAGACCCGCCUCUGAUGAUUAUGUUUUUAAAAUCAGAUUUCGGUUGAAUAAAAACACAUUCAUGAUUCAACUUGUUACAAUAUGAUUUAAAAUAAUCAAGCAAUAGAAGUUUUGAAAAUGCACUUGAAAUUUAACGUUACAUGUACUCUAACAUUAUGAGAACAACUAACCUAACAUUUCAGGCAAAUUAUUUUGGUGACUACUAUUCAGAUUCAAUAGUCUACUGUAUGUCGAGUUGUAAAACUCAUUUCAAAUUGUGUAGCAAUCCUUUACCAUAUUAUCAUUAAUAUGACUCAAAAUCAAAUAAAAAAGAAGAUGUUAAAAUACCAUAAUUUUUGUUAAAUUAUAGGAGCAAUUUAUUCCACACAUAAUGAUCCAGUAUCUUAAGAGUGAUAUAUGAUGAUAUGAUCACAAACAAAGUAGCUAGGUGGUGGAUAACCACAGCAAGCUGUUUUUGAUAGCAGCGGACAGCAAAAAAGCCCAAAGGUUGUCUCUGAAAGUUUGCCGUGUAUUGAAGGAACACUCGUCCAAUGACAAGAUGUCUAUCUGGCAGUUUCAAUCUGAUACCAAACGAUAUUCUGCGAAUCUAUAAACAUUAAAACCAUGCAGAAGAAACUUAUAAACUAUAAAGAUCGUCAAGAUUAAACUUUGAGAUUAAUAUGUGCCGUUAACUACUUAGAAGUUGAUUGUCCAAGACAUAUAUCGUUUUUUAAUAAUCCAGACGGUGGAUUGUUAUCAAAGCUGUUUCUUGUGCCUGUUUUGCAUUGCUAUCAAGCCGGCUUUUGCUCAUCACAAACAUGUUGUCUAAACAAUACAUUAAUAAAGAACUUGCCAGCAUAGGUAUUCAUUUGCCUAACAGUAAAAUUAAUAUUUACUGAAUCAUUGUAGGAAGCCUGAUAUGAGUUCAAUGUACCUACCAUAAUGAGUGUUUUAGCGAGAACAAUUUUUACCACUGGACAUAAAAGUAAUGAUCAGAUUAUUGAAUUUAUUAUCGAUGAUAGUACCAUAUUUUUACUCUGAUAUACUUUAGGCCACAUCCAGACCUAAAAAAAAAAAAAAACAAUAAACAUCAUUGUAAAACUCCGCUCAGAAUUUAAAAUAGUAAACCAUAAUCAAAACUAAACUUUUCCAUCACAGAUGGGACUAUCUAUAUUAUUUUUAAAACCACAAACACUGUUUGGUUUUAAUUGUGUUUCUCUAUGUGACCCAGCUCAUAAUUAAGAGGGGAUAUUUUUUCAAUCAGAUUAAUUCAAAUAAUUUAUUUAUAAAUACCAUCGUUUUGUGAGUAUAAUACCGCAUCCAGACCUUGGAUACAUUUGUCGGAAACAUGAGUUUCCAACAAUGAUGGUAACAAUAUUUCUGGUUUCCCAUCAUAGCAGUAACAUAAAUUUUUGUAACCAACAUUAUCAGAAACACGUGUUUCCGAAAAAUGUAUCCUAGAUCUGUGGAUGCGGUAUUAUACUCACAAAACAAUGGUAUUUAUAAAUAAAUUAUUUGAAUUAAUCUGAUUGAAAAAAUAUUGCCUCUUAAUUAUAAGCUGGGUCACAUAGAGAAACACAAUUAAAACCAAACAGUGUUUGUGGUUUUAAAAAUAAUAUAGAUAGUCCCAUAUGUGAUGGAAAAGUUUAGUUUUGGUUGUGGUUUACUAUUUUAAAUUCUGAGUGGAGUUUUACAAUGAUGUUGAUUGUUUUAUUUUUUUAUCCUGUAAACAAAAUUUCUACCAGAAGGAGUGCUUCGAUUUCAACAUUAUAGUAUCUUAUAUUUUAGCAAAUUGGAUCAAGAUGGUACUUUAGUGUGGUCAUUUUUCGAUUUUCUCAAUAGUUUUUAAACGCCAUCGGAAUAACCACCAAAAUAUUGUACUAACCUAUUUUUUUUUCUAUUUUGAUCUUUGUUUAUCACCAUAGAAACAAAUUCAAUUUAAAAAUUACUUAAUUCCCACUAGGUAGGUAUAUUAUAUACAAUUAAUGGUUACUAAUUAUUAAUACAUAUUUAUGAUUCAUACAUUUUCUCUCAUCAGUUCAGAAUUUUAAUAAAAAUAUACUUAAUUAGUGUUUUGAUACUAUUCUCAUUAUUAUACAGUAUACAAAUAUAAUUUUUUAAGUACCAAGACAAAAUAUAUUUUAAACUUUUGUUUAAAAUAAAAUAUUGUAUUUGUUCUCAUUAAAGUAUACAAUAUAUAUAUUCAUAUAGCUUACACUAUUCUAAAAGAAUCUUAAAGGAAUAAUAUUGCGUAUAAAUGUCCUCCUCCUUGAAACCAUCGUUUACAAUUAAAAAUACUAAAGUCAAUUUUUAUUAUGUUGAACGAUGAAUCUCAAAUUUUUCAUGAUGGAUCUCUAACUCAAUUGAAGUCUCCUUGAAAUAAUUACAGUUAUUAUAGAACUCGAUAUCUCGCACUAUUUUCUUUUCACUACGAGUUUUAGAAGUUCUAAGCUCUAGUUAUUGACAUUAAUUUUAUUACUGUUUAACAUAAUUAAAUUAUAAAUGUAUGUAAAUGUUGAAAAUGAUGAUAACAGGCCGAGUCUGACUUGAUGUAUUAAACAAGGUUUUAUAUUAAUCUGUUGGUUGAGAUAAUUUUCCCAACAUUGAGUGAUAUUUAAGCUUGUUAAAAACAUUGUUAGUGUGAUCAUUCUCGGAAGCGAUUUAGUAAACUGACUGACAUUACAAAAUAUUUUUAAGUCUUAACAGUUAACCUUUUUUAUUAUUAUAAUUUGUACAUUUGCUAAAAUAAUUAAAUUAUCUUCAUAGUAAUACCUGGUGUAAUUAUAAUAUCUUUAACUUUACUUCUUGGUAUUAUCUUAACUGAUAGGUCCAUCUAAUAUGCGGUUAUUGCUAGUUAAAAAUAUUAAAUUAGUACGAAUACUAUAAUUAAAUAUUACAAAUUAAAAUUAAUUGAAUGAUACUCUACAAAAUAUGAUGAGCUUGGGUGCCAUAUGAUAGAAAUGAGUAUGACAUAGUAGAUCUGUUGACUUGUUUUGUCCAGUUUUCCAUUGUUUAACAUACUUAUUAUUAUAUGCUUAAUCCCAAAUUCUGAUUUUGAAUAUAUUUAUUUCUGCAUACAUUUUUAAUAAGUAAUUAUAUUUUACAUUAUUAAAUAAGAUAUAUUAUAACCACUUAUAAAAAAAAAUAUAUGCAUAUUACAUUUUUAUUUAACCUAAUAAAUAUACAAUAAAAAUUGUUUAUUGUAGUUAUUUUAUAGACAAUAUUUUUAUAUUAUUGAUCAAUAUAAAGACAUGAUGAUAUUUCAAUAGGCCGAGCUGAUGAUAGAUAUAUGCUAACUGUAUAUAGUAUGUCGAUAAAUCAGUUGAGGUUUUUAUUAAACUUCCAGACUUGUUUCGCUUGCUUGGUAGACAAAAAUCAAUUCAUGUGAUCAACUCUCGGGAGCGAUUUAAUUGUAUCUGAGCUUAUAGAUUAUCAUGUCAUUGAAAUAACAAAUAAUAAUGUGUAUAUUUUGUGUAACAUUCAGGUUUUUCAGACACCUGUGGUGGUCAAACAUCCAGAUUUGAAGUCACAUCUAAACAUAUUCAAUAUGAGGCCUAUGUCACUACUAAACUGUACUUCACCACAAGCUCCUCAUUGCCCAUGCAAACAUAUAGUUGUGUCCAAUGUAUGGUAUCAAGCACUAACCCGUUUAACUACUCUACUAACUACAAUCAACAAUGACAAUCAGUUUAGCUGCACAAUUAUUUACCAAAUACUAAUGAUCAAGUUACCAUGAGAAAUAUUUGUUAAUACAGUAAUCACUAUAUACAAAAAACUUUCUUUAUUUUAGUUUCAUGUGAUCAGAAUCAGCAUUUAGUUCAUACAUUGAAUGAUUUUUUUCUUUAGAAAAUUUAAAUCUUCCAAGAUUGGUUUCAAUAGUUUUUUGAAACUAAUAUAUUCUUAUACAGGUGUUCCGUUAGGAUUUACCCAUUGCGAUAUCUCCUGAGAUAAUAAUUAAUAAAUCAUAAAUCUGUUAUUUUAUUAGACUCACAGAGACAAGGACAACUACAUAUAUUUUAUAAUUUGUAUUACACUUGCAUACUCCAUGGCAUUGUAAUUUACUAAUAUCAUUAUUAUUUAUAACUAUUAUUUUAUUUUUAUUCAGUUAUGUACAAUAUAAUCUAUGAUAUAAUAUAGUUGCUUGGUGUUGCAUUCAGUCAUGAAAUGUCUUUUGAGUGCUAGCACCAGCCAGUGUCACUGGAUGGGUGACCACUAGAAUUUUUAGUGACAAAUGCCACACAUACAUACACAUGUUCCGAUCCAACUUACUCUCCUCCUACAAACAGUUAAUGGACAGUUUGCGGGCUUAAGAUCAAAUAAAAAAAAAUUUUAAAUAUGUAUUUCUGUACCAAAGAAAAUAUAAUUGGAACAAUAAUAUGUGAUAUUAGUAUACAACAAUGUGAUGGAGUAGGUAUUUACAUUUUCUCAAUUACUAAUUUUGCUUAAGUUAUUGUUAGCCAUUAGGAUUCAGUAAGCGUGCAUAAUUUAUUUUGACUACAGUAUUAGAAUAAUCAAUUUUGUUGAAAUGUUUCACCAAAAGUUUCGUGUUAAAUUUUGUUUGACAUUAUGCUUAAACAUAAUAUUUAAAUUUAUAAAGUAUAAUGUAUAAUAUUUUAUUUUUAUAUAAUACCCUAUUAUAACAGAAUUAUUGUAAAAUAAAUACUUAAGCUAUGUGUUUUGAGGGUAUACAUUUUUUUUUAUUACCAAACAAAAAAGACAAAAUUAAAAAAAAACCUUUUACAUUGUUAAUUUUUUUUAUUGGUAUUCUGAUAUUUUUAACUAGUUACAAGUACUCUCAUGAUAUUAUUUCCCAUGUAGGAAGUGGGGUAUACAUUUUUAUUUUUAUCAAUAAAAGAGGCUUUUUUAAUUGAGCUUUUACAAUUUUUAAAUCAUUACAGUUAGGUGAGCGGCUAGUUAAAACAUUUUUAUUUAACAUUUUAUGUGAUUUAGUUGAUGAAGCGAUUGUAUUUUUUAUUGGUUGAUACUUGUCUUAAAUAGUUAAAUCCAGGUGACUUAUCAUAAUAAUAUGGGUCAAAUACCAUAACAUAAUACUUAACAUUACUUGUUAAGUUUUAUUUUAUGGUUAAGACUAUGUAUGUAAUGUUUCCUAUUCUAAUGUAUUUUGUAUUUUAAAUUUAUCUGCAUUCACUACAAAUAUCUCUAGCCAUAUUUAAAUUUGUUACCUUAAAUAUAAAUUUGCAAUAUAUACUAAAUUGAACUUUUUAUAAAUGUAUUUUAAUUAUUGAAAUAACUACUAACUUAAUAUUUUACCUAUGUCCUACGUAUACACUAUACAUAUUUUUAGUAUGUUUAUUUUUUAAAUAAUUUGAUUUAUAUUUACUUGCUUAAUUUAGUUGGUAAAGUUAACUAAUCAAUGUAAACUUUGAUCACUACAAAACAUAGAAUAUUGUAAAUUAUUAAAUGAUUUUGUAGAACUAUUAUUUAGAAAAUAUAAUGUAUUAUUUUAUUA